rnacentral:rRNA from 1 species
AUUGAACGCUGGCGGCAUGCUUUACACAUGCAAGUCGAACGGCAGCGGGGGCUUCGGCCUGCCGGCGAGUGGCGAACGGGUGAGUAAUGCAUCGGAACGUGCCCAUGUCGUGGGGGAUAACGUAUCGAAAGGUACGCUAAUACCGCAUACGUCCUGAGGGAGAAAGCGGGGGGAUCUUCGGACCUCGCGCGAUUGGAGCGGCCGAUGUCGGAUUAGCUAGUUGGUGGGGUAAAGGCCCACCAAGGCGACGAUCCGUAGCUGGUCUGAGAGGAUGAUCAGCCACACUGGAACUGAGACACGGUCCAGACUCCUACGGGAGGCAGCAGUGGGGAAUAUUGGACAAUGGGCGCAAGCCUGAUCCAGCCAUGCCGCGUGGGUGAAGAAGGCCUCGGUUGUAAGCCUUUGUCCGGACGAAAGACGAUCGGUUAAUACC